rnacentral:lncRNA from 1 species
AUGCCUACGCUGGACCGACCCAGAGAGAGCACGUCAGCAAAGAUGGACACACCAAGCCCAGAGAAAGCAAGCAACGUGCCCAAGGUCACACAGCAAAGCAGGAGCAGGCUGGCAUUUGAGGCCCCUGCCAACUUCUCCAGACUUAUUUCCUGCUUCAUCAUAUGUAAAAGCCACCCUGGAAGGCUCCAAGACAACCUGGCUCUUAGCUACAAGCCUUUGGACAUGCGCUCUCCUCUGCCCGGAACACCAUCCUCACUCCAUCUGGAAAAGGCCUGCUCCUUAUUGCUCUCAGCCUGGGUGUCACUUCCUGACACUGGAGAAAAGGGAAUAAGGGUUCAUGUCUUCUUCCAUGGCCCUCCAGCUUCACCCUAACCCCCAAGCUCCCACCUACUGGGGUUCCAAAAGGUGUGAGCUCCCUGGAGGUGAAGACCAUGACUAAUUCACCUCCAGGUUCUAGCACAGGCCCAGGCCCAGAGCAGGGACUCAACAAACAGCUGUGAUAUGAUUGGAUAUGUCAGAAGUCGGACCACCUGCUUUGCAUAGUGACCCUACCAUUUACUGGCUGGGGACUCAUGGACAUGUCCAUAAACUCCCUGAGCUUCACCUUCCUCAUCUUAAUGAGAUAUCUAAUGGAAAUAUCCACUCAUAGGGUGGGGAUGAAAUGAGUUCAUAAAUGGAAAUCACGGGCAGCCCUGGUGGCACAGCGGUUUGGUGCCACCUGCAGCCUGGGGUGUGAUCCUGGGGACCCGGGAUCGAGUCCCACAUCGGGCUCCCUGCAUGGAGCCUGCUUCUCCCUCUGCCUGUGUCUCUGCCUCUCUCUCUCUCUCUGUCUAUGAAUAAAUAAAUAAAAUCUUUAAAAAAAAUAAAAAUAAAUAAAUGGAAAUCACUUGCUGUGGUGCCUGGUGCUCAGUAAAUAACAGCCAUGAAGGUGCUGAAAGGAACAGGUGCGUGGGCAGCCGCGAGAUCAGGAGCUCGGUGCAAAUAGGCACAUCCUUCAGGACAGCCCUGACUGCUUCACACCCUCGGGUGGCCCUGUCACUGGCAGAAUCUUUUCCCACCACUGCCCUGUUGGGUCCAAGGUGGCCAGUGGAAUUCAAGGCCACUGGACGCAGACAGGAAGAGGCAGCGUCACCAGGCCUGGUGUAAUCCAAACCAGAUGCGGCCUCAGACCCAUGGGGGUGGUCACUGUGGGCCUGGCCAAGGCCCAGAGGCAGGAAAUAGUCUUGGAGGAACGUUCUCUGGGCUGGAACCAGCCGGGAGGAGCUGUCCCACUGAGGGUGUUAACCCCUCUUAGCCCACAGGGGGUGCCCAGGACCCUGGGCAGGGCAAGCUCAUGGUGUAGGCCCCGUGGGGCACAGUGCACCUUGCAGGGAAGAUCACGGUGUCAUUGUAAUGGGUGCCAUGCAGGAGGGGCCUGGUGGGCAGGGCAGAGUAAGCGAGGGGCAGGGGAUGCUCACAGCCUGGUACCAGGCACUUGAAGAAUCACAGUCCAGAGCUUUGGCUGCGGCUCUGGCUCCAGCUGGCAGGCCCCAAACAGCCAUAGAGUCUCUCCCUCCAUCAGGAUGGCUUCUAGGGUGAAAAUCUUUUCCCUGAGAGGCUGCCUGGGAUGGGAGUUCUAGUGACGGUAGUGGGGCUGGGGCCCAGGCCUGCAGAGAGGCAGAAACUCAGCCCCACACUGGGGGCUGCUGCUGUGCCUUUUUCCUGCAUGUGCUCUGUGGCCCUUGGAGGGAACAAAAUAUCUCUGAACCCCCAUUUCCCUACCCAUUUUGUCAAGUCUAUAUCCUUUACCUCCAGGGACCAGGGGAGGCCCAAAGGAGGCCUCUGAUAAAUCAAAAAGAGCUUUCCAAGAUGUGUUCCUGGGAGGUGAUAGAAACAGAAGCAGUGAUCAGCCCUGUUCCAUGGCUCUGGGUGGGCUUCCUUCCUAGGAAGUGUUACUUUGCUGUGUAGCCUUGGGCAUGUCACCUUCCCUCUCUGAACUGUUUCUACAUCUGUGAAAUACAGUGAAUGAGCGCCCUAUUCCAUCUUGCGACUGUCACAACGACCUAGGAGUGGCAGUAGAGAGCAGAGCUGAGAUUGUCAUUUGUAUAUUAUGGAGGAAAUUGAGACCUGUGCUGAGAGUCAGGGGUCCUGGGUUCUAGUCCCAGGUGUCGCUCUCUGUUGAGGGGCCUUCCUUGUUUUGGCCUCGGUAUCCCCAGCUGGAUCCCAGCCCUGAAUCUGUGCUAUGGCUGGACCUCAUUUCCUCAUUCCCCCCCACCACCCCCACCACCACCCCAUGGGUGUGACUCAUCUCUCAUCAUCACGCUGUGUGGCCGAGGCUCAGCCUGGGUUGGGGCCAACGAUGCUGAGAGAACUCAGAGGAAACCACAAGCCUGGCCCAGCUGGCAGGUGGUGAGCAGGCGGGCAGGCAGGCAGGCAGGCAGGGAUCCAUGGCCCUGGGGAUCCUGUGGCCCUGUAAGCCCACAUCCCAUCGAGAGCCCCAACCCAGGUUCCCCAGACCCCCCAAACCCUGAGUGUAAGACCCACCGGGCUUAGACCCUCAAAUCUGCCACACCUUGCCCUACAUGACACCUGCUGCAAUGGAAGUCUGCACACAUCUGCUGGAACAGGGCAAGAGUGGGGGUGACAACCCCCAGCCUUGCCCUCCAGGUCAAUAUUCAUGGAGUCAGGGGAGGUAGGGAUGAACAAGGUCUUGAUGUAUAGUUAAGUCCAAGAUUUCUUAAGAGGUGGUCAGUGUGGCAGCUGGGAACAGGGCCUCUGGGCCCAUACUGUCUGGUGCAAGCCCUGACUCUGCCAUCGACUAGCCGUGCGACACCAAGCAAAUGGCUUAACCUCCCUGAGGCUGGGUUUCCCCAUCCAAGAGGUAGCCAUGACACAAUGCCUGCCCUGCAGGAUCUCACUGUGAGCAAUCAAUGUGAUCCUGAGUACAUGGAGCCAGACCAGGGGGUACCCAGGGCUGGUACCUAGCAGCACUCCAUGCAUGUGAACUGCUGUCACCGCCAUUCCUGCUGAAACCAACUCACCUCAAGCAGGCAGACCAGCUGCCCCACUUAGGCCAGUAUCACCUCUGUCUGACUCAGUUGUCCUCACAGCCAGAAAGGCUGUGCCCUA